rnacentral:rRNA from 1 species
UACGAAGGGGGCUAGCGUUGCUCGGAAUCACUGGGCGUAAAGCGCACGUAGGCGGCUUUUUAAGUCAGAGGUGAAAUCCUGGAGCUCAACUCCAGAACUGCCUUUGAUACUGAAGAGCUUGAGUCCGGGAGAGGUGAGUGGAACUGCGAGUGUAGAGGUGAAAUUCGUAGAUAUUCGCAAGAACACCAGUGGCGAAGGCGGCUCACUGGCCCGGUACUGACGCUGAGGUGCGAAAGCGUGGGGAGCAAACAGG